UGCAACAGAGAGAACAUGGGGUUUGAAGUAAGACAGAUUCCAGGCAGAUUGAAAUGCUCAACGGUAAAGCCAGAAAAAGAAAAAUCCAUGGAGAAAAACAAAUACUGCAUGACCUCCCAUACCAUUUGAAAACUUCGAUAUCUCCAGAAAGAGAAUUCAGGAAAUACCAAAUGUGUGAGUCUUCGAGAAUCACAACCAGAUACUCGGUGAGAAUCCACCAUGUCUGAGGCAGGAGCCCGGUGUUUGGAGAUGGAGCGCUGGGACAUGGUCUUGCCUCCCGGAGUUCACAGAAAGGUUCUUACAGCUUCCCGGGGACAGAGUCUCUGUAUUAGGCACCUCAGGCUGCCGUAGCAAAAUAUCACAGACUCAGGGGCUCAAACCACAGAUCUUUAUUUCUCAUAAUUCUGGAUGCCAGAAGUCCAAGGUCAGGGUACCAGCAUGCUUGGUUUCUCCUGAGGCCCCUUCUCCCUGGCUUGCAGAUGGCCACCUUCUCUUCACGUCCCCUGAUGGCUCUCAUGUCCCCAUUUCUUUGUGCGCAUCGCUGGUGACUCUCCCUCUGCUUUUAAGAUACUUGAGAGACUCUUAAUCUUAGGAAACAACCUGAGGGUUGCUGGAGGGGAGGGUAGACGGAUGGGGUAACUGGGUGAUGGACACUAAGGAGGGCACGUGACGUUAAGAGCGCUGGGUGUUGUGGAAGACUGAUGAGUCACUCACCUCUGCCUCCGAAACCAAUAAUAUAUUAUCUGUUACUUAAUUGAAUUUAUUUUUCAAAAGAUUUUAUUUAUUAAUUUGACAGACAGAGAUCAAUCACAAGUAGGCAAAGAGGCAGACAAAGAGAGAGAGAGGAGAAAGCAGGCUCCCCAUGGAGCAGAGAGCCCGAUGCGGGGCUCGAUCCCAGGACCCUGGGAUCAUGACUGACUUGAAGGGCAGAGGCUUUAACCCACUGAGUCACCCAGGCGACUCAUGUUCUUAGUAGAAAUUUUAAAAAUUUAAUUGAAUUUAAAUUUAAAAAAAAAAAAAAAGAAUACCAGUCAUUGGACUGAGGCACACCGUAUGAUCUCAUUUAACAUUAAUUACCUCUGUAAUUAAGAGAGUUUAAUAAUUUAGAGAGUUUAUCUCUAAAUACAGUCCUCCCAGCACCCGGGAGGCUCAGUCGGUUAAGCAUCAGCCUUCAGCUCAGAUCAUGAUCCCAGAGUCCUGGGAUCCAGCCUGCGUCUCCUUCUGCCCCUCCCCCAGCUUGUGUGAGUACGCACUCUCUCUCCAUCUCUCUCAAAAAAUAAAUAAAUACAAUUUUUUAAAAGUUAUUAAAAAAUAUAGUCCAUUUUCUGAGAUAUAUUAGGGGUUAGGACUUCAAUACAUGCAUUUAGGGGGAGGUCAGAGUUGAGUUCCUAACAGCCUCUAUGACCAGGAAAGAAAAGAUGCCUCGGAAGUAGAGCAGGGGCCUGUGGCCCAGACCUGGACUCCCCGAGGCCUCUCCAGGAGAGCUAAGUUGCUCACCGAAGGAUGCGGCUGGCGGCAGGGGCUGCUCUUCUGAAGAAACACUCUGCGAAGCACAGACCUUGUGUAUUUCACUUUUUUGUGGCCUCUUGACUUUCCUUCUUUUUUUUUUCUUUUUUUUUUUUACUCUGGCCUUUGGUAGGAAUAACAAAGAGGAACCCAAAAACAUCAUUCCAGAAGCCAAUGUGCCUUGGGCAAGCCACCUUUCCUUUCUACCUCAGCUUCCUUCUUGGUAUAAUCAAGUAGUUAGCAUUUAUUAUUUCUCAGACCUUAAUGUGCCAUGAUUCUCGGGAAAUCCUUAGGUACAGUCACGGUUACUUCUCUAAAAUACUGACAAUUCAUGGGACACCUGGGUGGCUCAGUGGGUUAAGUUGCCUGCCUCCUGCUCGGGUCAUGAUUCCAGGGGCCUGGAAUAAGUCCCACAUCCGGCUCCUUUGCUCAGUGGGGAACCUGCUUCUCCCUCUGCUGUCGCUCCCUCUGCUUGUGCUCUCUCUGAUUAAAUACAUACGUACAUAAGAUACUGACAGUUCAGAAGCUUGGGGAAGGGGAGACCCAAAUUCUGCAGCCAAAUGCCGUUUUUACUUUUGGAGCCGUAUUAAGAUCUUUCCCUGUUUUCUACUAAGAACAUGGAGAUAAAGGGGAGCCUGGUGACAGGAGAAAAUCCAGACUCUUCCACCAGCUCUGCGUGACUUAGCUACUCUCGGGAGACUUUCCCUCUGCAGGUCCUGGUGACGACUCAGGCCUUCAUCUGUGGGAAGGGAGUACAAAGCUGCAAAAGCAGUGGAUGCCCAUUGUGAGAAAAAAAUGAAACCCAACAGGACACAAAGGAUUACACAUGACACACAGAAGUGCGAGGGCACCUGGCUCCAGGAAUUCCCAACAGACCAGGCUCAGCCCGUCGCCACUGAUAAAAUCCAAAGGCAGAGAAACAAGUGGUGGAACAAGAAAGGAAUUUAAAAAAACCAUUUUUAAAAAAUCAUCUAUAUACCCGGACCUGGGGCUCAAACUCAUAACCCAAGAUCCAGUGUUGCAUUCUCUUCCAACUGAGCCAGAAAGGCACCCUGCACAAAAAAGGAAUUUCAAAGAGGCCAAUAGCAGAAAACAAGGGUGUGUUUCCUCUCGGAAACUAUGGCCAGAAAAGUGGAACGACUUCCAGGUUUAUAUAAGGAAAAAUGUGGUGCAAAGGUGGGCGGGUACCUACAGGUAGGCUGAGAAGGUCAAAAGGAUCAUUGUCCUGGAGUCAGUCCUGGGUGGGGUCUUAUGGGCUCAGCCCGGUCCUUAUGGCUUCGGGGGUAGUUUUGGUUCGCUUCUAGGGAUGGUCUUGCCCUCCAGGUCUUCUGACUGAGCCUAGAGACAAACUGGAAAGAACCCAACUAGAAAGUUGAGGUCAAAACCCAGGCAGCCCAAGUCUUCUUUCAAAUAGAUCUGUGACUGUCUUUUACUCAGUAAGGUGGUCUAGACUUUCUUCUGUCUGUGUAGAAAAAGUACUUCUCUUUCUAAAGCCUGUGUAGUAUGCCUGGCAUGUGUCAUUUAUUGAGCAGGUUUUCAAAUCACCUCCCAUUUUUUUUUUGCUAACAUGAACGAUCCUGCAGUAAACAGACUUGCAGUAAACAGACUUGCAGAUGUAGCUUUGGUUGAGUAUCUCCCCGGGAAGGAGUCUUAGAAAUAGAAUCACUGGUCCUCGAGUUCAUUUCUAUGAGGUGUUUCAUUGUAUAGAAAGAUUUUUAGGCAGGUCAACUAAGACCAAAAAAGAUGUAUCUGUGUAUGUAUAUAAUUUCAUUUAAAGGCUCUUUUGAUCCACAGCCUGAAAUCAUUUCUUAAAAACCGGCCGGUUACUAGGAGAGUAUGUCUUCUUUUUCUUCUUUUUUUAAUGGGCACCGAUUGGCUGGGAAAGCGGCCUCCCUUUACUCCCUGCUCCCUGCCAGUCACAGCUGUGUGAUCAGUGUGGGGACUCCUGACUGCAGGCCCUUGGGCGCCCCUCUGGGCUCGGGGGCGCUGGGCCUGCGAUGCCUCCAGCCAGCACUCUGGGCUUGGGAUGAGCUAUAGUUCAGUUUGGCAUUUGUUUUCUCAAGGGCUUGAAAUUGAGAGAGGGAUUGCAGUGAUUUUCACUCUUCCUAACAUUUCUUUUUGCAAAAUCCUAUUGUGCAAGCCAGAUAUUCAGCUAAAAUCAGAUCUUAAUGGCUGUGUUGGGUACUUAAAAUCGCAAGCUCCUAUAAAUUAUUAAAUAGUCCUUCCACGCAGAAGAACUGCCCAGCACAAAUUCUCUGCAGCAUUUUCAUUCAGAACUUAAUCUUUUCCCCCAUGUUGGGUCGUUUACCUCCUCUGGAUUCCACUAAAGGUAGGUCUCCCCGCCCCCACGCCCCAGCACACAAGGGGUUAAACUGAACUCCCGGAGCCUAAUUUCCCAAACAAAAGCCAGUUUUGCAAGUUAGUUUUCAAGGUGUGUCUUUCCAUAAGUUCUAUUUAAUGAAGUUAAUACGUGUUCCCACUUCCUUUCUUUUUUUCCUUCUUACUUUUCUGUUGUCAGUAUUCAUGGAAUCUGGAUCUGUCAGCUACUUCUGUUUGAAGUGGAAGAAUUGGCAAAAUUAUACAUCCAGCAGGCAAGAAAUAAAGUGGAAAUGUCUCACAAGUAACAGUGAAAUCUGUUGCGUUGUUUUAAGACUUAACCACUGAGGGGGGAAAAAAAGCCCUACUAAAUAUUGUCUUGGCAACUAUAAAUAUAUUUUAGCGAUGAUAAAAACCUUUAGAAUAGCAGUUACAAGAUAACUGAAACCUAAUGCCUGUCUGUCUGCCACUCUGAAUUAUAUAUAUUUACAUUAUGUAUAUAUCCCAUUCUUUAUUAAAGGCUGUGCAAUUCU